rnacentral:rRNA from 1 species
CACGUAGGGACCAAGCGUUGUCCGGAUUCAUUGGGCGUAAAGAGCUCGUAGGCGGUUCAGUAAGUCGGGUGUGAAACCUCCAGGCUCAACCCUUGAAUGCCGGUUGAUACUGUCGGGCUAGAGUCCGGAAGAGGCGAGUGGAAUUCCCGGUGUAGCGGUGAAAUGCGCAGAUAUCGGGAGGAACACCAAUGGCGAAGGCAGCUCGCUGGGACGGUACUGACGCUGAGACGCGAAAGCGUGGGGAGCAAACAGG